UUAGCUUUUAUCUUUGUAACAAUGUUUCAACCUGCAAGCUCAGAGGCGGCAGCUGCAGGCAGGGAACGUUGGAGUCCUCCGUCACUGAAGCAAGCAAGCCUCAUGUUAACUUCAAGCUGCCUGGCU